UACGUAGGGGGCAAGCGUUGUCCGGAUUUAUUGGGCGUAAAGAGCGUGUAGGCGGCUUGGUAGGUCCGCUGUGAAAACUCGAGGCUCAACCUCGAGAUGUCGGCGGAAACCACUUGGCUAGAGUCCGGAAGAGGAGAGUGGAAUUCCUGGUGUAGCGGUGAAAUGCGUAGAUAUCAGGAGGAAUACCGGUGGUGUAGACGGCUCUCUGGACCGCCACUGACGCUGAGACACGAAAGCGUGGGUAGCAAACAGG
rnacentral:rRNA from 1 species